UGGGGCUGCUGCGUUCCGUCUACCUGCCAGCAGGGUUGAUGAGGGCCCUUGGGCUUCCUUCCCCACUCCAUGGUGCACUGCUUAAGAGCCCUUCUUGUACAGACUGACAUAUCUGUCAAGUUCCAGCUUACUUUCCAAAGCUGACCAAAGUUCCAUCUAGUGUCUCCCAUCCACAGGUGCAUCGUUUGGUGAAGAGCUUCUUUCCUUUUUGGCGCCAGCAUGGGACAUUUGGCCUGCGUUCGUCAUUCCCACAAUCCUCUUGGCUUUGGGCUGCCGACCUCCCUGUGGCUUGGCGGAUGAGACGCCAUUUUUGUGGUGCCUGCGGGUCCAACUUGCUCCACGUUCCUGUACUGCCUUCGGACCCAGAAAGUUCGAACUGAUUUCGGGCAGAGCUAGUUGAUUGCUGAUAAGAAGACCUUUUCCAAGGAGCUCUGGGCUACCGGUGUGCAGAUCCUCUCUGCACUGCAUUCCGACAUCAGCAGCCUUCUUAUCUGCUCUGGAAAUCCUGAAGCAAUAUUUGUAUUAAAUACACAGUUGAAUGCACACCAAAUGGGAAGGCAGCUGUAGAGGCCCAGAAUGGAUCUCCAUUUCAUUAAAGGAUCCCUUUUCUUCGUAGAGUGUUGUGAGGGGAGUGUGUAAAAACGUAGACCUUAAGAAAGGUACCUCUAUUCACAGACAGACAUGUGGGUUGAUCACACAGGAUACAGUUGAACCCAAACUAACCCUCCCAGUACCAGCUCUUUCAUUCUCCUCCUACAACUGCCAUUCAUAUUCGCACCAACACUCUUUAUUGUGAAGAGAGCCAGCAAAUGCUAUUUGAGGAUGGUUAAUUACUCAAGGACGAACACUAUAAAGAGAAGUUGGAAAAAUAUCUACAGGCAUUGUGGUUUUCAACGUGCCUCCACUUCACUGCUGCAAAGCUGAAAUAUAAAGGCAUUAUUUGGCAAUAUGUACCUUUUUCUAUGAAAAUGCCUUUAUACAAAACCACCAUACUCUGCUCAAGGUUCUCUACCUGACAUGAGAGAAGUUUAAGAAGGUAUAAAGGAAAUACCAAAUGGGACUCAGGCGCUGGGCUAGGAUCUGGAAGACAAUCAAUGCUAGUCUUGAUCUUGAUCCUGAACCUCCACGGUUACUCUCGAGGCAAGUUGUUGAACCUCUCAGGGCCUCAGGUUCUUUCUGGAGACAACUAUCUCAUCUGCCUUCCUCCUGAGACUGUUGGUAGAGUCAAAUGAGAUUGUAUAUGCAGUCAUAUCUAUGAGCUAUAAACUGCUGUACAAAUCUAAGGCACAUUUAAAUAAUUCAAAGGAACCACAUUUAACUAGACGUUUGAAUAUGUCUUAAGAAAAUAAUUUAAGAGCAUUACAUAUCACCAAGUCACGUUUUUACUCAGUAGCCAGUGGGAAAAGGCUGGAGUUGCCGGAAAUGGAAUUUAGGUGAGAAAUUAGAGUUUCUUCAAUCUCUGGAUUGGGAAGUGUUGAAAUAAAUGAUAAAGCGAGGUUUCAUUAUCUCCCUUUUUUAAAAGGAAAAUGCGGAUGGCUAAUGCUUUGGAAAUGAAAAAUAGAUGGGCUGGGACAGGGGGGUGGUUGAUGGAAUAGUGCAACCUCGGAGAAUCUCUUUCAUACACAGAAUCAUGUGCCCAUUGCUAGCAGGACACACUUCUUGCUGUGGUUGCCUUUGUAGUAAUUGCACCAAUCAACUCUUGCUGACUCUAAAUGGGGGAAAAGUAAAGUAAAUUUCAAAUGACUUUUUUUCAUUGCUGUUCAUGUUUGCUGCCAAUGUUUGCUUCCAUGCUUGAAAACAUGAGCAGAGAUUUGUCUUUGGGAAGAGCUCUAUUUCUCGUGUUUAAAUAGCUGCUGCCCUAAAGGGGAUUGAAAAGAGGUUGGGGACAGCCAGUAUCCCAUGGCCAGAGGGACAGCACAUUUUGCUCGACAAAACAAAGAAUGUUUAGAAUAAAAAGAAAGCAACCAACGUGGAAUGUGUUAUUGCUUACCUGCAUUUCUUGAAUUGGAUCAGAAACAAAGACAGACAGACAGGGCUCAAAUUGCCUUUGGGCAUUUAUCAUUGUAAGUGUUUGGAGAGCCCAGGUUAUGAAAUAUCAGUGUGAUUAAAGAUGUAUGGAUAUAAUAGUCAUUUUCUUGUUAAUUUAAUCCUCUUACAAUUUAAAAAAAAAAUACACAUCUUCUAUUCUAGGCCAAAUUUCUGAAGUAUCUGUCAGGAAGAAAAUGCUAUAAUAUAUGAAUUUUUUGCCCUAUGAACUGAUUAUUUUUAGCAGCUUUUUAUGAGCAUAAUAACAGUAAUUUUAGCAGCUAAUUUACCUAAAAUCAUUUCAUUCCGAAACCUGAAAGCCCCCAAAUCAAAAGGUUCUCUUUGUCUAAAAAGUUUAAUCAAAAUAAAUGUUUCUAGUUAGUUUUGAGAGGAAAAAUUAGGGUUUCUUCUUGCUCAAAUAUUUAGUAAGCUCUCAAGGAGGUGUGGGGGGAAGCAAUCUGCCUGUCAUAGGAGAGAAAAAAAAAUUAAAGAGCAGGAUUUUUAAAUUGUACCUCUUGACACCAAUAAAUAACAAGAAAGAGCUAGUACCAUUCUUUAACAUGCGUGCGUACAAUACAAUAAGCAAAUCUGACUCAUCUGCCAGCCUGAUUGCUUUGUUUAGAAUUCCACUGUCAGAGGUAAAGUGGGGGUGAGAGGAUUUAUGUAAAUUCGGCCCUUCCAAGCUGGAAGAAAGUUGGAUUACUUAAAAAACAAAACAAAAAAAACAAACAAAAAAAACAACCCAAAACAAAACAAAAUAAUUUUUCCAACUUUACAAAGUUAAAAGUGCUUUUGUUUCCACAUCAGUUCUGAAUAAGAGUGACUUUUAAGUCCCCAGAUUCAGGUUAGAAGUGUGAUCUGGAAGCCACGAUGAUGAAUUUCCACAGAUUUUUUCCAAGCUUUGAAGGUAACUGCUCUGUAUCUUCCUGCCUUUCUGGCGUGAGUGUUGGAAUGGGGAAAUGGGCCAGGGGGCUAGAAGAGGGGGAGUGGAUUUUUGGAUGAGACAUUUAGUCCUGGUUUCUGUAUGAGCUGAGUGUCAUCAAUUAGAUUAACCUAAGAAAUAAGCAGCUGCCUGUCUGAAGGUUAUAUAAAGUGAUGGCAGCUCCAAUUUGUUUAUGUUCAAUCAGAAUUGAUACGAAGGUAACAGUAUAGACCCUCAGACCCCUGGAACGUAACAGUAUAGACCCUCUGACCCCUGGAAACCUCUGUGUAGUAACCUAACAUUGUGGGCACUUUGUUGGUUUGUUCUAGAGGGCAGUGGGGCUGGCAUCUGAUUCUCUGACCCCAUUUGACCUGACCGUGGGUAUUUCACAUUCUGGCAGUCUGCGCGCACUUAAAUGCUGAAUUCAGAUUACAUAAAGAAUUCUAGGUCCUCUCUGACACUUCGCAGAGAGGGCAAUGUUGCAGCGUUGACUGCAAAAUAAGAAGUAAUAAAUUCAAAUCCACACCAAUGAUUGGGGAAUCAGAGAGCAUGCGCUUCUGGGGAAAUUAGGUUUUAGGCAAUGGGUGGAGCCUGAUGGCAUGGAGAAACGGUCCUUUCAGGUGACACCAGCGUUUUCCCUUUCCAGCUCCAGUCUAAUUCCAACCAGCCUUGGAUUGACCCGCUAUGGGGGCUGGAAGUUUUGUGAGAAUGCUCUAGCCCUCAUAGCAAGUGAGGGAGAGGACAAGAAGGGGAGACAACAGGCCUGAAGAAUUGCAUUCUCCCCUGGAAGAGUGGCCAGGCUAAAGGCCAGCAACAGAGCUCUGGACCUGUGGUUCUCAGAGUUUGUGGAGAACAAGGGUGGCUUCUGUCUACUCGUGGUUCCAGGAAUACUCACUGAUCUUCCUCGUCCUGAAGAAGCGGAGACAUGGAGGUUCACAACCUCUGUCUGAGGUGGAGCAUGUCACUCUUUGUCCCUAAGGAGACCAAGAACUAAUAAUAAAAUACCAAAUGGUUAAAUAUUUUCUGUAUUAUUUUUAACA